GAAUUCGCCCUUAGAGUUUGAUCCUGGCUCAGGACGAACGCUGGCGGCAUGCCUAACACAUGCAAGUCGAACGGACAUAAUUAGACUAUAGCAAUAUAGAAUAAAUAUGUUAGUGGCGAACGGGUGAGUAACACGUGAGCAACCUGCCCCAUACAACGGGAUAACACCUGGAAACGGGUGCUAAUACGGUAUAAGACCACACUAUGGAAUCAUAGAGUGGUAAAAGCGAAUUAGCGGUAUGGGAUGGGCUCGCGUCCAAUUAGCUAGUUGGUGAGGUAAUGGCCCACCAAGGCGACGAUUGGUAGCCGACUUGAGAGGGUGAUCGGCCACACUGGAACUGAGACACGGUCCAGACUCCUACGGGAGGCAGCAGUGGGGAAUAUUGGGCAAUGGAGGAAACUCUUACCCAGCAAUGCCGCGUGAGUGAAGAAGGUCUUCGGAUUGUAAAGCUCUUUGAUUGGGGACGAAGAAAAUGACGGUACCCAAGGAACAAGCCCCGGCUAACUAUGUGCCAGCAGCCGCGGUAAUACAUAGGGGGCGAGCGUUGUCCGGAAUUACUGGGCGUAAAGGGUGUGUAGGCGGUUUUUUAAGUUAGAAGUGUAAUACCUAGAGCUCAACUCAGGUGCUGCUUCUAAGACUGGAAGACUAGAGUAUGGGAGAGGAUAAUGGAAUUCCUAGUGUAGCGGUGGAAUGCAUAGAUAUUAGGAGGAACACCAGAGGCGAAAGCGAUUAUCUGGACCAUAACUGACGCUGAGGCACGAAAGCGUGGGGAGCGAACAAGAUUAGAUACCCUGGUAGUCCACGCCGUAAACG
rnacentral:rRNA from 1 species